CGAGGGGCAUCGGGGCGAGGAGCAAUCCUUGCCGCCGGCGACCGGCGCACGGGUGAGUAACGCGUAUGCGACCUGCCCGUUGCAGGGGGAUAAUCGGGAGAAAUCCCGUCUAAUACCGCGUAACGCCGCGGGGCUGCAUGGCCCUGCGGCCAAAGGGAGCGAUUCCGGCAACGGAUGGGCAUGCGUGACAUUAGCUAGUUGGCGGGGCAACGGCCCACCAAGGCGACGAUGUCUAGGGGUUCUGAGAGGAAGGUCCCCCACACUGGUACUGAGACACGGACCAGACUCCUACGGGAGGCAGCAGUGAGGAAUAUUGGUCAAUGGGCGCGAGCCUGAACCAGCCAAGUCGCGUGAGGGAUGACGGCCCUACGGGUUGUAAACCUCUUUUGUCGGGGAGCAAAUUCCGUUACGUGUAACGGAGUCGAGAGUACCCGAAGAAAAAGCAUCGGCUAACUCCGUGCCAGCAGCCGCGGUAAUACGGAGGAUGCGAGCGUUAUCCGGAUUUAUUGGGUUUAAAGGGUGCGUAGGCGGACUGUCAAGUCAGCGGUAAAAUACGGGGGCUCAACCUCCGCCCGCCGUUGAAACUGACGGUCUUGAGUGGGCGAGAAGUAUGCGGAAUGCGUGGUGUAGCGGUGAAAUGCAUAGAUAUCACGCAGAACUCCGAUUGCGAAGGCAGCAUACCGGCGCCCAACUGACGCUGAAGCACGAAAGCGUGGGUAUCGAACAGGAUUAGAUACCCUGGUAGUCCACGCAGUAAACGAUGAAUACUAGCUGUCCGGGGCGAAUGAGCCCUGGGUGGCACAGCGAAAGCGU
rnacentral:rRNA from 1 species